rnacentral:rRNA from 1 species
GACGAACGCUGGCGGCGUGCUUAACACAUGCAAGUCGAACGGAAAGGCCCUGCUUGUGUGGGGUGCUCGAGUGGCGAACGGGUGAGUAACACGGGAGUAACCUUGCCUGGACUGUGGGAUAACUGCAGGAAAGUGGGGCUAAUACCGGAGAGGAGCUCCUGCUGCAUGGGGGGGGUUGGAAAGUUUCGGCGGUUGGGGAUGGACUCGGGGGUUAUGAGCUUGUUGGUGGGGGAGUGGCUUACCAAGGGUUUGACGGGUAGGCCGCAUGAGAGCGUGAACGGCGACCAUGGGACUGAGAUACGGCGCAGUGUGGUACAGGAGGCAGCAGUGGGGAGUCUUGCACAAUGGUCGGGAGUCUGAUGAAGAAGCGCCGCGUGCGGAAUGAAGGCCUUCGGGUUGUAAACCGCUUUAGCCUGUGACGAAGCGUGAGUGACGGUAAUGAGUAAAGAAGCACCGGCUAACUACGUG